ensembl:lncRNA
UAUGAACAUUGCAUGUCGACAUAUUAAAAAACUGGGUUAAUAUAUUUUCUUUCUUAUAUAUAUGUACAUGGUGAAUAAGUACAGUGAUUAUGUCUUGUACUGUUUGUUACAGUUUCACCUUUCCUGUGUCAAUAAACCUGUGAACCGGGAAUCGUGUCGUCAGAGUCUUGAUGUGGGGAAGGAGUUUAGCUGACUGCCCAACCAUAGCAGAGGCAGUACAAGUAACGAGCUGAAUUGCUCUAAAAGCUUGACAAUCAGCUCUACUGGGAGAUUGCCACAAAAGCAGCGUGUGUGUGUGUUUUGUUCAGCUCCGCUGGUCUCCCCGUUGUUCUGCCUGACAGCAAAACCAGCCAGAAUCGGUGCAAGGAAGAAGCAAGGAAGCAUCGACGGUGAGUGAAGGAGGCGAGGCAGGGGUCUCCUCAGAUCUCCGCGCUGCAUCAGUAACAGAGUUCUAAUCACAUCCCAGAUGCAGCUGUUUCCCUUCCACAUGUAAAGUAAGCAAGAUGUUUUCCAGUAAAUCUGCGCCACUGUGGAAAUGAACGCUGGCGUUAGGAGCUUCUUUAGUCUGCUGCUAAUCACACACUUUAGCAGAGCCCAGAAAAUCAGUGAUGACUCCAUCAACACCCCCCACCCUCCUGUGCUGUUCAGCAUCAGCCCCCAAUCCUACAUCAGCUUCCUGCUGCUGGGCCUGACCGUCGUCGUGUUCGGCGGCGUCUAUCUCUGGAUCCUCAGAUACGUCUGCAUCGGCUGCUGCCAGCCCAUCACAGUGGGCGUUGAAUCAGAAGCCCUGGCAGGGAUGGUGUGAAGUCAUCGGCCCCUGUCUGAUUGAGUUGGGCUGUUACCAAGUCACACAGGACAUGUACCUCGGUUUUACAGGUAAAAGACUUGGCCUAUCCGACUUGUCAUCAAUUUUGCAAAAGAAAGUAGGUGUCAGGGAAGAUAACUAAGUGUGUAGUCAUUUGUGCUCCCAUAUAAGUUUUUUUUUUCAAGUGCGGUUCCAGAGCGCUCAGUGACAGUGUCAAUGCUGGAAAAUAAGAAAGUAGGAGAAAAGUAGUUCUUUUGCUCUUACUUCUACACCCUGCUUACCUGAUAUCUGGCAAACAUCUGUUGGACACUGCCUGAAAAAUCGCUAAAAAGCUACUGAGCAGUGAACGUGAGACACAAUUGUAAAGCUGGGUGGCAGAAAUUUAAGAAAAAGUUCAGCUAAUAAGCUGAUAAAAUGCUUUGUAUCUUUGCUUUAGGGUUUUCUUUGUAGUUUAUUGACUGUUUUAUUUCGAAACCCUUUUUUCAUGGUUUCUUUUCUUACUUCCUGCCUUUCUCCUUCACAAGUGGGUUUUGUGUGUAACAAUUAGCCAUUUAGUGUAUUUAUAAUGGCGUCCCCCUUUUCUGCUGUCAAGUUAGUUUGUGUCUAGUUUUAUUUGUUUUGUUCCUGGGUAUCUGUCUCAGCUUCAGCAUUAUGUUAAAAACAAUCCAUAAAAACAUACUACAGUGUCUUCUUUUAAAACAAAGACAUUUUCUAUUAUUUUUUCUCCAUAUAUUCCACUCAACUGGUUAUUUUUGAGCAUUUACACACUUUAUGGGGAAAAAAAUUACCAGUUGAAGUUUUUGUGAAAGUACAGCCUGUUGAUUUCUCUGCUCGUGGCAUUUCUGCUCAGCUGAAUGACACAAAUAAAUCUCCUUUUCUUCUUCAAUCUUGCCUUGUGUUAUGGGGCCUGUGUAGGGUGACCAGAUCACAGUCUAAAAGUAAAUAUAACAAAAAUAAAGAGAAGCUGAAGUUUGUUCUUAUUGUCUAUAUUAUCUGUUAAUUCUUCCUCCUCCUGGAGGAGGAGGAGUAUUUAAUCUGUUCUGUUUGUUAACAGUCUAGCAUGCAAUCGGAUCUAGGUCACAAUAAAUGUGAAAAUCUGAAAAAACUUUAUAUUACUCAAAUUUUUUAAUGGAUGGAUCUUCUAACUUCACAACAAUAUGCUAGACCUUGGUGGACAUUAAUACCUUGGCUGGCUAAACAUUUGACUUUGACCUUCAUUUUUAGUGCCCAAAUUUGAAGAAACCAUAUCAAGUAAUCUGUCAUAUUAAAAGUACAGAAAACUUUCUUCUUUUAUUC